AUGAGUGUGUCUCUAGAUGUGACCUGCAGCCCCACAGGGUUGGUGCUGAAGAUCUGCGCUUUGGAUGACAACGUCUGCAUGGCCUUUGCCGCCGACGCGAGGAUAGUCAUCAACAGGGCCCGGGUGCAGUGCCAGAGCCACCGUCUGACAGUGGAGGACCCGGUCACCAUGGAGUACAUCGCCUGCUGUAUCGCCAGUCUGAAGCAACGUUACACACAGAGCCAUGGGCGCAGGCCGCUUGGUAUCUCGGCCCUCACUGUGGGUUUUGACUUUGAUGGCACCACCAGACUCUAUCAGACUGACCCUUCGGGCACAUACCAUGCCUGGAAGGCCAAUGCCAUAGGCCAGGGUGCCAAGUCAGUGCGCGAGUUCCUAGAGAAGAACUAUACGGAUGAAGCCAUUGAAACAGAUGAUCUGACCAUCAAGCUGGUGAUCAAGGCGCUCCUGGAUCAGUCAGGUGGCAAAAACAUAGAACUCGCCGUCAUGAGGAGAGAUCAGCCUCUCAAGAUUUUAAAUCCUGAAGAAAUUGAGAAAUAUGUUGCUGAAAUGGAAAAAGAAGAAAAGAAGAAACAAAAGAAAGCAUCAUGAUGAAAUCAAAUUUCC